rnacentral:rRNA from 1 species
UUGCCUACGGGGGGCAGCAGUGAGGAAUAUUGGUCAAUGGGCGGGAGCCUGAACCAGCCAAGCCGCGUGAGGGAAGAAGGUACAGCGUAUCGUAAACCUCUUUUGUCAGGGAACAAAGGCGGGGACUAGUCCCCGGAUGAGGGUACCUGAAGAAAAAGCAUCGGCUAACUCCGUGCCAGCAGCCGCGGUAAUACGUAGGGGGCAAGCGUUAUCCGGAUUUACUGGGUGUAAAGGGAGCGUAGACGGAGGAGCAAGUCUGAUGUGAAAAUCCGGGGCCCACCCCCGGAACUGCAUUGGAAACUGUU